ensembl:snRNA U6 U6 spliceosomal RNA
GUGCUCAUUUUGGCAUCACGUGUCCUAAAAUUGGAAUGAUACUGAGAAGAUAAGAAUGGUCCCUGCAUAAGGAUGAAAUGAAAAUUUAUUGUGCUCCAUAAAAAAUAUUU